rnacentral:rRNA from 1 species
UACGGGGGGGGCAAGCGUUGUUCGGAAUUACUGGGCGUAAAGGGCUCGUAGGUGGCCAACUAAGUCAGACGUGAAAUCCCUCGGCUUAACCGGGGAACUGCGUCUGAUACUGGAUGGCUUGAGUUUGGGAGAGGGAUGCGGAAUUCCAGGUGUAGCGGUGAAAUGCGUAGAUAUCUGGAGGAACACCGGUGGCGAAGGCGGCGAUCCUGGACCAAUUCUGACACUGAGGAGCGAAAGCCAGGGGAGCAAAACGGG